rnacentral:rRNA from 1 species
CCUACGGGAGGCAGCAGUGGGGAAUAUUGCACAAUGGGGGGAACCCUGAUGCAGCGACGCCGCGUGAGUGAAGAAGUAUUUCGGUAUGUAAAGCUCUAUCAGCAGGGAAGAAAAUGACGGUACCUGACUACGAAGCCCCGGCUAACUACGUGCCAGCGGCCACGGUAAUACGUAGGGGGCGAGCGUUAUCCGGAUUUACUGGGUGUAAAGGGAGCGCAGACGGCUGUGCAAGUCUGGAGUGAAAGGCGGGGGCCCAACCCCCGGACUGCUCUGGAAACUGUACGGCUGGAGUGCAGGAGAGGUAAGUGGAAUUCCUAGUGUAGCGGUGAAAUGCGUAGAUAUUAGGAGGAACACCAGUGGCGAAGGCGACUUACUGGACUGUAACUGACGUUGAGGCUCGAAAGCGUGGGGAGCAAACAGGAUUAGAUACCCUUGUAGUC